UACGGAGGGUGCGAGCGUUGUCCGGAAUCACUGGGCGUAAAGGGCGCGUAGGCGGCUUGGGAAGUCUGUGGUGAAAGCUCGUGGCUCAACUGCGAGUCGGCCAUAGAUACUCCUAAGCUCGAGUCGACUAGAGGCAGAUGGAAUUCCGGGUGUAGCGGUGGAAUGCGUAGAGAUCCGGAAGAACACCCGUGGCGAAGGCGGUUCUCUGGAACGCAACUGACGCUGAGACGCGAAAGCGUGGGGAGCAAACAGG
rnacentral:rRNA from 1 species